ensembl:misc_RNA Metazoa_SRP Metazoan signal recognition particle RNA
GCCAGGUGUGGUGGUGCACACCUGUAAUCCCAGCUACUUGGGAGGCUGAGGCAUGAGAAUUACUUGAACCCGGGAGGUGGAGGUUGCAGUGAGCCGAGAUUUUACCACUGCACUCCAGCCUGGGUGACAGAGUGAGACUCUGUCUCAA